rnacentral:rRNA from 1 species
CCUACGGGUGGCAGCAGUGGGGAAUAUUGGGCAAUGGGCGCAAGCCUGACCCAGCAACGCCGCGUGAAUGAAGAAGGCUUUCGGGUUGUAAACUUCUUUUCUCAGGGACGAAGCAAGUGACGGUACCUGAGGAAUAAGCCACGGCUAACUACGUGCCAGCAGCCGCGGUAAUACGUAGGUGGCAAGCGUUAUCCGGAUUUACUGGGUGUAAAGGGCGUGUAGGCGGGAAAGCAAGUCAGAUGUGAAAACCAUGGGCUUAACCUGUGGCCUGCAUUUGAAACUGGUUUUCUUGAGUACUGGAGAGGAAGACGGAAUUCCUAGUGUAGCGGUGAAAUGCGUAGAGAUUAGGAGGAACACCAGUGGCGAAGGCGGUCUGCGGGACAGCAACUGACGCUGAGGCGCGAAAGCGUGGGGAGCAAACAGGAUUAGAUACCCGUGUAGUC